rnacentral:lncRNA from 1 species
CACUCAACGGAGGAGCAUCUGAUAUGAUUAAACAUACAUGGGCAAGGAGCAGGCCAAGAUAACCAGAAGCGACAUGAAAGAUGAGAGUCCACUUUUAAUGUGUGCCUGGAGGACACCCGAUUGCCCGGGAAAGUCUUGUUUUCCCUGUGCUUGUCACGCGAGUCCUUUUUACUCCUGCCUCCACCGCCCUCGGUGUCUUACCGCAACUCUGACCCGAAUCUCUCUCUUUUGACAAGGAUGAUCCUGAGCAGUCUGUGACAGCAGGUGUCAAAAGAUAUGAUGCUGCAGAUUAAAAGGUUGGCUUGUUAUUAUGACAUGAGUUGCCCAUGGUCAAAGGAUGUGUAACCCAGCUUUCCUGUAUCAAAAGCCCAACAACACACAUGGAUGUGAUCACGACACCAUCUGGAUAGACCUAUAUCCAUAAAUGGCUGGGAAUCAUAAGGAGGAUCUGUUCAUUGUUAACAGUGUCUCAGUGUCCUCACUGUUAAACGAGUCACCCUGACACACUCAUCUGGAGUCCAUUGAGAAUACACAUAAUUUGCAAGAAAGUGCAAUAAGCCGAUGUCAUGUCUAACUCUGCUGUUAAUCCAUUAUGGCUCAAGGCCCAGAGAGCUACAGUAUACUGUUGGCACGGAACUAUAGCUAGAUCUCAGAGACCAGUAGAGGUCCCAGUAGUGAGAAUGAAAAAAUAAUGUAAUUCUUUAGCCAGAAGAGGGCAGCAAUGUAGCCUCUACUACCAUUUUGCAUAGAGCAUGUCUUUAUGGUGGCCACAAACUCUAUCUAGUCCUCAGUUGUGUAAACUACUUAAGUAAAAAAAACAUUUUUUUUUAAAGUACUACUUAAGUAGUUUUUUGGGGGUAUCUGUACUUUAGUUUGCUAUUUAUAUUUUUUGCCAACUUUUGCUCCGCUACAUUAAAGAAAAUAAUGUACUUUUUACUCAAUACAUUUUCCCUGACACUCAAAAGUACUCGUUACAUUUUGACACGAAAAUGGUCCAAUUCGCACACUUAUGAAGAGAUCAUCCCUGGUCAUCCCUAAUGCCUCUGAUCUGACGAACUCACUAAACAUAAAUGCUUCGUUUGUAAAUUAUGUCUGAGUGUUGGAGUGGGCUCCUGCUUAUCUGUCAAUAAAAAAAUAAAAUCGUG